UUUUCACUGCUUAGCAUGAAAGGAGAGAGCUAACUGGCCCUUGGGGUUCCUGGAGGAUACAUAGCAUGUUAUGGAAAGGGUAUAUUUAUACAAAGAAUUCCCAAUUUGGCACUUAUGUUUGGAGAAGAAAAAGAAAAGAAAAAACAUCCCUUAAAGAACCUCACUGCAUAAACAGUCUUCAGGCAAUCAGCAGCAUCUAAACAGGAGGCAGAGCUGUAGGCUCAGGGAGAGACAAAUGCAGACCUAUUUAGCCCCCAGAUUGAAGGCCUGCCCGGUCAAACAUUAUUUCACCUGCUGGAACGCCUGUGCCUGUGUUCAAAAAAUAUCAGUCCUAUCACCUCUCAUUCCACUGUG